GACGAACGCUGGCGGCGUGCUUAACACAUGCAAGUCGAACGGAAAGGCCCUGCUUUUGUGGGGUGCUCGAGUGGCGAACGGGUGAGUAACACGUGAGUAACCUGCCCUUGACUUUGGGAUAACUUCAGGAAACUGGGGCUAAUACCGGAUAGGAGCUCCUGCUGCAUGGUGGGGGUUGGAAAGUUUCGGCUGUUGGGGAUGGACUCGCGGCUUAUCAGCUUGUUGGUGGGGUAGUGGCUUACCAAGGCUUUGACGGGUAGCCGGCCUGGGAGGGUGACCGGGCACAAUGGGACUGAGAUACGGACCAGACUCGUACGGGAGGCAGCAGUGGGGAAUAUUGCACAAUGGGCGGAAGCGUGAUACAGAAACGCCGCGUGCGGGAUGACGGCCUUCGGGUUGUAAACCGCUUUCGCCUGUGACGAAGCGUGAGUGACGGUAAUGGGUAAAGAAGCACCGGCUAACUACGUG
rnacentral:rRNA from 1 species